AAGCUUGAAGUAAAAUUUACAUUUAGUUUCGGCCUAAAAAUUUGGUUAAUUAACCCAAGCUUU
rnacentral:tRNA from 1 species